GGCCAACCCGUCUCUGUGGCAAAAGAGUGGGAAGAUCCCCGGGUAGAGGUGACAGACCUACCGAACUUAGUUAUAGCUGGUUGCCUAGGAAAUGAAUAGAAGUUCAGCCUCGUGCUCCCCAACUCCCCCGCCAAAUAUGCACCAUGAGCCAGAGCAACACACGAGAGUUAGUCAUAGGGGGUACAGCCCCUAUGAAACAGAAUACAACCUGCACAGGAGGUUACAGACUACUAAUUAAGACGAUGC
rnacentral:rRNA from 1 species